AGGACGAACGCUGGCGGCGUGCCUAACACAUGCAAGUGGAGCGACGAACCAGGCUUCGGCCUGGGGCAGAGCCGCGAACGGGUGAGUAACACGUGGGUAACCUGCCCUGAUGAUUGGGACAACCCGAGGAAACUCGGGCUAAUACCGGAUGUGCCCGCAAGGGGAAAGGAAGCUUCGGCCUCCGCAUCGAGAUGGGCCCGCGGCCCAUUAGCUUGUUGGUGAGGUAACGGCUCACCAAGGCUUCGAUGGGUAGCUGGUCUGAGGGACGA
rnacentral:rRNA from 1 species